rnacentral:rRNA from 1 species
GAUGAACGCUAGCUAUAGGCUUAACACAUGCAAGUCGAGGGACCGGCGCACGGGUGAGUAACGCGUAUCCAACCUACCCAUAACUAAGGGAUAACACAGCGAAAGUUGGACUAAUACCUCAUGGUUAUGGAUGGGGAUGCGUCUGAUUAGCUUGUUGGCGGGGUAACGGCACACCAAGGCAACGAUCAGUAGGGGUUCUGAGAGGAAGGUCCCCCAGAUUGGACCUUGGCCACAGUCCAAACACCUACGGUAGGCAGCAGUAUGGAAUACUGUUCACGGGACGCUAGUCCAAACCGGCCAAGUAGAGUGCAGGAUGCCGGCCUCUGGGUUGUAAACUGCUUUUAUAUGGAGUUCGGUACCCUAUGAAUAAGGACCGGCUAAUUCCGUGCCAGCAGCCGCGGUAAUAC